GGCCUAUUGAUAUAUUUUAUUUUAGGUUUGGCCUGCUCAAUGAUUAUUUAAAUAGCUGCAGUAUUUUAACUGUACAAAGGUAGCAUAAUCAUUUGUUCUUUAAUUGAGGGCUUGUAUGAAUGGUUGGACGAAAUAUUUGCUUUCUUUAUUAUAAUUUAUGAAAUUAAUAUUUUGGUUAAAAUGCUAAAAUUAUUUUGUGGGACGAGAAGACCCUAUAGAAUUUUAUUUUUAAUGUGUUCUUGAAUUUUAUUCUUUUUUUUUAAAAAUUUAUUAAAAAUUUGGUUGGGGUGAUUAUGAAAUUUAUUUAACUUUUAUUUUUUAUAUUUCAAUAAUUUUUGUUUUUUUGAUCCUUUAUUAUGGAUUAUAAGAUUAAAUUACCUUAGGGAUAACAGCGUAAUUUUUUUGGAGAGUUCUUAUCGAUAAAAUAAGUUUGCGACCUCGAUGUUGGAUUAAAAUAAUUUUUGGGUGUAGGUGCUUAAUUAAUAGGUCUGUUCGACCUUUAUAUUUUUACA
rnacentral:rRNA from 1 species